AACGCUAGCUACAGGCUUAACACAUGCAAGUCGAGGGGCAUCAGGAACAUAGCUUGCUAUGUUUGCUGGCGACCGGCGCACGGGUGCGUAACACGUAUCCAAUCUGCCCGUUACUCGGGGAUAGCCUUUCGAAAGAAAGAUUAAUACCCGAUAGUAUUAUUUAUAGGCAUCUAUUAAUAAUUAAAGAUUUAUCGGUAACGGAUGAGGAUGCGUAUGAUUAGUUAGUUGGCGGGGUAACGGCCCACCAAGACUACGAUCAUUAGGGGUUCUGAGAGGAAGGUCCCCCACACUGGAACUGAGACACGGUCCAGACUCCUACGGGAGGCAGCAGUGAGGAAUAUUGGUCAAUGGACGAGAGUCUGAACCAGCCAAGUAGCGUGAAGGAAGACUGCCCUAUGGGUUGUAAACUUCUUUUGUUUGGGAAUAAAGUUAGGUACGUGUACCUAUUUGUAUGUACCAUUCGAAUAAGCAUCGGCUAAUUCCGUGCCAGCAGCCGCGGUAAUACGGAAGAUGCGAGCGUUAUCCGGAUUUAUUGGGUUUAAAGGGAGCGUAGGCGGACUGUUAAGUCAGUGGUUAAAUGUCAAGGCCCAACCUUGUCAUGCCGUUGAAACUGGUGGUCUUGAAUACACACAAGGGAGAUGGAAUUCGUCGUGUAGCGGUGAAAUGCUUAGAUAUGACGAAGAACUCCGAUUGCGAAGGCAGUCUCCUGGGGUGCGAUUGACGCUGAGGCUCGAAAGUGCGGGUAUCAAACAGGAUUAGAUACCCUGGUAGUCCGCACAGUAAACGAUGAAUGCUGGUUCUUGGCGAUAUAUAGUCAGGAACUGAGGGAAACCAUUAAGCAUUCCACCUGGGGAGUACGCCGGCAACGGUGAAACUCAAAGGAAUUGACGGGGGCCCGCACAAGCGGAGGAACAUGUGGUUUAAUUCGAUGAUACGCGAGGAACCUUACCCGGGCUUGAAUUGCAGCUGCAUAGAGUAGAGAUACUCUUUCCCUUCGGGGCUGCUGUGAAGGUGCUGCAUGGUUGUCGUCAGCUCGUGCCGUGAGGUGUCGGCUUAAGUGC
rnacentral:rRNA from 1 species